rnacentral:misc_RNA from 1 species
UACGUAGGGGGCAAGCGUUGGCCGGAAUUAUUGGGCGUAAAGCGCGCGCAUGCGGUUCCUUAAGUCUGAUGUGAAAGCCCACGGCGCGACCGUGGAGGGGCAUUUGAAACUGGGGAACUUGAGGACAGAAGAGGAGAGUGGAAUUCCAAGUGUAGCGGUGAAAUGCGUAGAUAUGUGGAGGAACACCAGUGGCGAAGGCGACUCUCUGGUCUGUUUCUGACGCUGAGGUGCGAAAGCGCGGGUAGCAAACAGG